AUUGCCAAUGGAAGUAAAAGUAACCAGGAAAGGUUAAAAUGCUAUUCCUGGCAUUUUAACCUUUCCUGGUUACUUUUACUUCCAUUGGCAAU